GAUGAACGCUGGCGGCGUGCUUAACACAUGCAAGUCGAACGAAGCACUUUAUUUGAUUUCCUUCGGGACUGAUUAUUUUGUGACUGAGUGGCGGACGGGUGAGUAACGCGUGGGUAACCUGCCUUGUACAGGGGGAUAACAGUUGGAAACGGCUGCUAAUACCGCAUAAGCGCACGGCAUCGCAUGAUGCAGUGUGAAAAACUCCGGUGGUAUAAGAUGGACCCGCGUUGGAUUAGCUAGUUGGUGAGGUAACGGCCCACCAAGGCGACGAUCCAUAGCCGACCUGAGAGGGUGACCGGCCACAUUGGGACUGAGACACGGCCCAAACGCCUACGGGAGGCAGCAGUGGGGAAUAUUGCACAAUGGGCGAAAGCCUGAUGCAGCGACGCCGCGUGAGCGAAGAAGUAUUUCGGUAUGUAAAGCUCUAUCAGCAGGGAAGAUAAGGACGGUACCUGACUAAGAAGCACCGGCUAAAUACGU
rnacentral:rRNA from 1 species